rnacentral:rRNA from 1 species
CUAUACAUGACUCUGUGCAUAUCAAUAAGCGGAGGAAAAGAAACUAACAAGGAUUCCCUUAGUAACGGCGAGUGAAGCGGGAAGAGCUCAAAUUUGAAAUCUUCAAGGGUUCUACCUUUACGAAUUGUAGUUUAUAAGAAGUGUUUUCUGUUAGUAGAGUCGGCUAAAAGUUCUUUGGAAUAGGACAUCAUAGAGGGUGAGAAUCCCGUAUUUGUACAGUUACUUUCUAGCUGUGUGAUACACUUUCAACGAGUCGGAUUGUUUGGGAAUGCAGUCCAAAAUGGGUGGUAAAUUUCAUCUAAAGCUAAAUAUUGGCGAGAGACCGAUAGCGAACAAGUACCGUGAGGGAAAGAUGAAAAGAACUUUGAAAAGAGAGUUAAACAGUACGUGAAAUUGUCAAAAGGGAAGCGUUUGACACCAGUGUUGUUUAGUUCGAAAAUCAAUUCACUAAUUUUUGAUUUUGAGUAGUUAUGACUUCAUCAGCUUGCUGCUCUCUUUACGAAACUUUCUUGAAUGCACUUUUCAGUUAACAAGUCAACAUCAAUUUCUUUUGUUGUAAAAGGGUAUGAGGAAGGUGGCUUGCGCUUUCGGAUAAAGUGUUUAUAGCCUUGUAUCCUCUGCAAUCGGAGAGAUUGAGGUCUGCAGCGUAGAUCCUUCGGGGUUAGAUACAUUGGUGCUAAGUUAUAGCUUGUCAUAGACAACUUGUUGACUAUGUUAAGUCAUUGUAGCUUACUCGCUGAUGCUAUUUUACCUACGCUUAGGAUGUUGAUAGUCACAGCGUGUAC